rnacentral:rRNA from 1 species
AGAGUUUGAUCCUGGCUCAGAUUGAACGCUGGCGGCAUGCCUUACACAUGCAAGUCGAACGGCAGCAUGAUCUAGCUUGCUAGAUUGAUGGCGAGUGGCGAACGGGUGAGUAAUACAUCGGAACGUGCCCUGUAGUGGGGGAUAACUAGUCGAAAGAUUAGCCAAUACCGCAUACGACCUGAGGGUGAAAGUGGGGGACCGCAAGACCUCAUGCUAUAGGAGCGGCCGAUGUCUGAUUAGCUAGUUGGUGAGGUAAAGGCUCACCAGGGCGACGAUCAGUAGCUGGUCUGAGAGGACGAUCAGCCACACUGGGACUGAGACACGGCCCAGACUCCUACGGGAGGCAACAGUGGGGAAUUUUGGACAAUGGGCGAAAGCCUGAUCCAGCAAUACCGCGUGUGUGAAGAAGGCCUUCGGGUUGUAAAGCACUUUUGUCCGGAAAGAAAUGGCUCUGGUUAAUACCUGGGGUCGAUGACGGUACCGGAAGAAUAAGGACCGGCUAACUACGUGCCAGCAGCCGCGGUAAU